rnacentral:rRNA from 1 species
UGGGGAAUAUUGGACAAUGGGCGAAAGCCUGAUCCAGCCAUGCCGCGUGUGUGAAGAAGGUCUUCGGAUUGUAAAGCACUUUAAGUUGGGAGGAAGGGCAGUAAGCGAAUACCUUGCUGUUUUGACGUUACCGACAGAAUAAGCACCGGCUAACUCUGUGCCAGCAGCCGCGGUAAUACAGAGGGUGCAAGCGUUAAUCGGAAUUACUGGGCGUAAAGCGCGCGUAGGUGGUUCGUUAAGUUGAAUGUGAAAGCCCCGGGCUCAACCUGGGAACUGCAUCCAAAACUGGCGAGCUAGAGUAGGGCAGAGGGUGGUGGAAUUUCCUGUGUAGCGGUGAAAUGCGUAGAUAUAGGAAGGAACACCAGGGGCGAAGGCGACCACCUGGGCUCAUACUGACACUGAGGUGCGAAAGCGUGGGGAGCAAACAGG